CGGCCAGACUCCUACGGGAGGCAGCAGUGGGGGAUAUUGCACAAUGGGGGAAACCCUGAUGCAGCGACGCCGCGUGGGCGAAGAAGUAUUUCGGUAUGUAAAGCCCUAUCAGCAGGGAAGAAGAAAUGACGGUACCUGAGUAAGAAGCACCGGCUAAAUACGUGCCAGCAGCCGCGGUAAUACGUAUGGUGCAAGCGUUAUCCGGAUUUACUGGGUGUAAAGGGAGCGCAGGCGGCACGGCAAGCCUGAUGUGAAAGCCCGCGGCCCAACCGCGGGACUGCAUUGGGAACUACCGGGCUGGAGUGCCGGAGAGGUAGGCGGAAUUCCUGGUGUAGCGGUGAAAUGCGUAGAUAUCAGGAGGAACACCGGCGGCGAAGGCGGCCUGCUGGACCGCGACUGACGUUGAGGCUCGAAAGCGUGGGGAGCAAACAGGAUUAGAUACCCGCGUAA
rnacentral:rRNA from 1 species